rnacentral:lncRNA from 1 species
UUGAACAUUAUUUAAUAGACUCACAUUUUUAAGAUGAAAAACAUUUAAUUUGUCAUAUUUAUAUUUUGUCAAAUUUCUUAUCGUUAUUUUUUUCGAAUUCUUCCAUAUAUCUAAACUAUGUUUUUUUCCAAUUAUAUUAAAAGAACAAAAAUUUUUAUAUGAUUGUGUUAUUAAUACUUUCAUAUUUUUUUUUUUUUUUUUUUCUUUUUUUUUUUUUUUUUUUUUUGUCUUUUUCGUAUUCUAGCAUUCUUUUUAUUACCAUCCUUACGAUCACUAUCGUUACAUUUGUUAACAUUACCUCUUACCACUCCUGACUUAUUUACCAAACAAUCUUUCAUCAAAAUAUUUCUAAUAUUUAUCAAAUUUAAUCUUAUUUCUUUAUUCGUUUGUACAAUCAAUUGUAUGUACGAAUUUAUGUACGUACAUAGUAUAAUAAUAAAAACGGUUAUCACUUUUGUACUUAAUGCACUACUAGUAGUGCUACUAUUACUUCCAGACUUAUGUUCCAUAUUAACACUCGUUUCGUUAUCAAGAUUGGAUAAUAAUUCUAAAUAAGAAUAAAUACUACAUAAUACAUUUUUAGGACUAUGAA